rnacentral:lncRNA from 1 species
UUGGACUAUGCUUGUGGAAACGGUGCUGACUGUAACCCUAUCCGUUCAAAUGGACCUUGUUACAACCCCAACACUGUUAAAGCACAUUGCAAUUAUGCUGUUAACAGCUAUUUCCAAAAAAAAGGCCAAGGUCAAGGCUCCUGUGAAUUUGCUGGCACGGCAGCUAUCACUACAACUGACCCUAGUAAUUUCCCUUCCCUUCCCAUCCAUCUCUAUUUUCAACUUAUUAUUUUUUUACCAAGGCAGUUAAAAAGUUUAAAAAUGAAGAGGAAAAAGAAAAAAACUUAAAACUUUGUGUUUCUUUGGCUAUUCACAGGCUCUGGUGGCUGUUCUUACCCCUCCAGUGCCAGGUAUGCUGUAAACUUUCCCUUUUGAAGUGCUCAUGUUUUAUGCAUUAUUGUGUGGUACUAAAAGAGUAGGCAUUUGACACCAUCAACACAUAAAAGAUUGGGUACCUCCACUUAUUAGGACUAUUCAUUUAUGGGGCAUUUGGACUAUUAAUUCUCUAAUUUUUAAGGUCACUGAAUGCCUUAUUUUAGUGGUUGAGCCAAACAAAAAAUGCUUCUUUAGGGGACAAGCUUUAGGGUUUAUAAUGUGUGAUAUAAUAAAAUGAUAAUGUUAACAUUGAUUCUACUACUACUUAAAAAAUUAGUGUUCAAAUGCAUUUAAGCAGAUUUAACAAUAGUGAAGAUUGUAGUAUGAUAUAUUAAUUUAUAUUUUGUUGGUCCACAACCAGAUAUUUAGUCUAAAGUUUUCAUCAAAGUGGACCACUUAGUUAAGCAGAAAAGUAAGGUUUGAACAAAAAAGGGGAUGUUUUUAUUUUUAUUAGACUAUUCAUGUCUAUUAAGUAUAUUUUUCAAAUAUAAAACUUAAAUUUUGAAUAUAGUCCUAUCAAACAAUAUUCCAACUGCUUAUAUAUUUAUAUACUCGUUCUUGAGAUUCCUGUUUAAAUUUAAAUUCCUGUCUAUUACAUUCACAUACUCUACUUCUCUUGGGUGCAAUGGCCAUCCAACUUUCUAACCUUGAGCUGCUUCUUCUUCUUCUUCUUUUUUUAACCUAAAAGAAAAUCAAGUACUCAUUCACUGUUUUGAAUGAGGCUUAUUCAAACACAAAAAUCCAACACUUUGUCAACUUUUCUUUUUUAUGCUUUCACCUUUGAUCAUCUUCAUUGGGCCAUUUUAUCUCUUAUCGCCAACUUCAAAAAAAUGGCUCCACAUCUAAGUGGUAAAGUUAAAAAGAGUGAUGUAGCAUUGCAUUGUAGCUUUUCCCUUUUACUAAAAGAAAAAGAAAUUCUCACUAUUAUUAUUGGGAUUAAUGUCCCUUUUUCUAUUUGAUUGAACGGUGUAAAGGGUUCCUACCUAUCUUUACCCCUUUACCCUUUACUUUGAUGUAUAAGGCUAUAAUUUGAAUGGGAUAAAUUGAGAUUGAAUAUAAAUUUUUAUGCUUAUAACAUAAUGUUUUUAUAAUUAAACUAAUAUUAUUUUUAUCGAAUUAUAUAUUAAAAAAAACUUUAAUUGUAUAAUAUUUAAUCCCAUAUCAAAUAUACCUCAUGUUUUCACUAGAAUAACUUAUUCCCCAAAUAAAGUUUUAGAAAAAUGAUGAAUGACCUUUUUUCUUCUUUAUUACGUUAAAUUUUGUUUUUAUCUGUUUGUUCAGUUCUUGUUUUAGUAACAUGGGAUCAUGUUGCCAUGUGCCACCACUAAAAAUUAUAAAAAAUAGAUUCGAUAUAUAUAUUUUUUAUUUAUAAGUUUUAUACAUAUUUGAAUUUUGAUGUUUACAAAGUAUACAUCUUAUUUUAAUUAUCUAGUUUAUUAUGAAGGAUUUAAGUGAUGAUGUAUGAUUUGGAUAAUAAAAAAAAAGUGAUCAGCACCUAUUUCAUGGUGGUGGGGUCCUAUUGUUAGACUUUGAAAUGGACAAAUGUUUUUAUAGAGAUUAGAGCCGGUUUGUUUUCUUUUCUUUUUUCUUUGAGAUAUGGAAAACCUUGAGAGUUGUGCACAUGUUGUCCUACACUACACUAUACUCUUUGCUUCCGCCCAUUUUAUGGGACACCCUACUGUUGUUACCUUUUUUUUCUUUUCUUUUCUUUUUAUCUCUUUGUUUUUUUCUUGCUUUAAAGUUUUUAACCGUGGUAAAUAGCAAGCAGAAACCACUAUUUUACCACCCCUAUGGACAAAAUAUCUAUCCUUUUUCUGAAUUUUAUGGUUUAGACAUGAAAAAGAGUUUUUGUAAUAUAAUUAAAAUUAAUUAAGUUUUUAAUAAGAAAUAGCUUUUGUUUGGAUUCAUAAAUAGAAUUCAAUUAAGUUCUUGAAAUAUAAUAAUAAAAAAGAUCAAAAAUAUAGAAAACAUUAAUAAGUUAUUAAAAUAAUUAUACAAAUUUUAGAAAGUUAUAAUAAAUAUAUUAAAAUAUUAUACUUUUUUUAAAAAAAAAUUACUAUCUUUUUUGUUUUUCCCUCAAACAAUUUCCUACAUGAUGCAUUACACCAACAUUAUUGAAAUAUUAUUAAUUAGACAUAAACUUAGUUAGAAAAUAAUUUAAAAAUUGCUUCUUAAAAUGUAAUAAAUAUUAUUAAUUUAUUAUAAUAAUGUAAUUUUCUUUUCAUACUUUUUUUUAUAUAAAAUCUUUAAAUAAAACAAUUAAAUGUGUGGAAAUUGAAGUCAUUUAAAGUGACAAUGUCUGGUGAGUCUGCAAGUAUAAUUUACAGGUAAGUUAAAGAUGAUAGAAGAUGCUCAGAACGGAAAUAAUAACCUUCCUUUUGUGGGUGAGAAUCGAUAUACUAUCUUAUAUGUUUGUACUAAUUGUGUCGGCAAAGCUCAAAUGAACUUGUCUAAGCCCAGUUUAUUUAUACUUGUAAGAUUCUCUGCACUGUAUCAUCUAUUUAUAUUAUACUUAAAAUUGUUAUUUAAACCGAUAAAAAUCAUUACGUUAUUAUAUGAUCCAUCCGUUUCUUUUGGAAAAAAUUUGAUGACACGACCAUAUUUUGUCUUUUACUUGGAUCAGUGGUGGAGGCACGACCUUAACACCAACAACACCGGGCACGACAACAACUCCAUCAUCAUCAACAACCACCACGCCCUCCAUCAUGACCCCAG